rnacentral:misc_RNA from 1 species
UCCGGCUUAUCACCGGCGGUUUCUUUAGAGUGCCCAACUAAAUGAUGGCAACUAAAGACGAGGGUUGCGCUCGUUGCGGGACUUAACCCAACAUCUCACGACACGAGCUGACGACAGCCAUGCAGCACCUGUGCACUGGCCCCGAAGGGCUGCCGUAUUUCUACGACAUUCCAAGGAUGUCAAGUCUGGGUAAGGUUCUUGGCUUAGCAUCCAAUUAAACAACACGCUCCACCGCUUGUGCGGGUCCCCGUCUAUUCCUUUGAGUUUUAAUCUUGCGACCGUACUCCCCAGGCGGGAUGCUUAAUGCGUUAGCUGCGCCACUGAAGAGCAAGCUCCCCAACGGCUAGCAUCCAUCGUUUACAGCGUGGACUAC